GGGAAGACCGGUCGAAUUCCGGCGCUGACCCGCAACGGUAGGCCGUCCCGCGAGACGGCGAGCCCGAAUGCC
rnacentral:ncRNA from 2 species